CCCAUAAGUAACAUUGUAGCAUUUUCAAACACUGAUAAAAAGAACUGGGCCUUGCCAGGAUACAGCUCUCUAUCUAGGAGAGGUUCUUAAAUAACGCUACGUGUUUUGUGUUGAGAGUGAAGUGUGGUUCUUUUUACCCUGGAAAAAAACUUUCUGGACAAUGUACAGGAUGCCAUGAUUCCUAUGAUGCACGGACUUAGUAAAAGCUUUCUCAGUUUCAUCACUCUCACAAGCAGAGUUCAUCAAAUCAUCAAUCACAACCAUAUUUGCUUUAUUAGGGGGAAAUAAACAGUUAUCACUAAGACUGUCAGUUAAGUCCUCCACAAAUUUGAUAAAAGGAUAUUUACAGAGCAGUUACUGAUACAACGGUUGCCAACAACUGUAACACCACGCAAUAUUCUCAGGCAUAACAGAAAGCAAGUGGUCGGCAUUCUCCAAAAGACUUUUUACAAAAUAACUUUUCCCAAGGUUGCUAGGCCCUGCCAGAACAGCAGAAAAGAGGUGCUUCUAGCACACGCCCAUGAUCAAAAGCCAUAGGGGAGGCUGUUCAAUUUUUUAGUCAGUACCCUUUUGGCAUAGACCACCUUCUGCGUCUUCCGGAGGGGCCUGGUUUCUAUCAUCCACUUCUGCUUGUUCCUGACAAUAGAGUGCUGCUUUAUCAUGAUUUUCCUAAGGGCUAUGUGGAUUUGCACCAUAGUCCAACACAAGAUCCUCCAUGGAUCUUUUCUCCUCUUGUUGCAUUUAGAGUGAUGCCUUUACUUUUAAAUAACACUUCCCCAGAGUGCAGGUAGCUGUAGGAUUUGGAACCCAAUGACAUGAACUUGGUACUAUGCUCAUCUGGCAGCAACUCACUCAUUAGCAGUGUUACUUCCCAACUCUCAGGAAUGGCCCUAGACUGGGUUACCCCCUAUAUGGAGUGCAAUAAUCCCAUGCUCCAGAACCCUGAUGACCUAUUUGCUGAUCUGGAACAGUUCUUUGGAGACCAUAAUUGUGCAGCUGAGGCUGCCUUGCUGGAGUUCUGUCAGGGGAGUCAGUCAGCUGCUGACUACACAAUUCCAUUUAUGAAUGUGGCUGUGGAAACUGUGUGAGAACAAGCCCUUAUGGCCCACUUUAGGUUGGGACUGACUGAGGCCCUCAAAGAUGAGAUGGCCAGGGUGGACCCUCCCCAGAGCCUGGGGCAGCUCUCAGACCUGGCUGUCAACCUGGAGAGGUGGCUUAUGGCAUGCCAGAGAUGAUUAUUUUUUUAACUAGGAAAUGACCUUGCCCUUGCUAGCAACACUUUUUUUUAAUGAAAGCUAAAUGCAUUUUAAAUUUAUAGUUUGAGGUAGCCCAUCUUUAUAACAAUAUCACUUGAGUCACAAAGUUAAACUUCCUAAAGGCACAAAAUGUUGAAUUCAAGUUACUUAUGCUCCCUAUAUUCUGUUCUCUCAUUCUAAUUAUGAGAUCAAAUGCAAUUGUUCUUCAGUAUUAUAUACCAUUUCACCAUACUUCCUUAACUGCUUAAUGAUGAAAAGCAGGCUGAACUCUCUGUAUUCUAAGGAAAAAGUCCUAAACCCUUGAAAACAUCAUGUUAAAUGUCAUUCCAAAGUAGAAACUGGCCUGAAUAUAUUGUUUUCCUCAUGUUUCUAUUUUUCAAUUAUACUGGUGUCAUUGCUGAGUGUUGGGGACCGAAAUAGAAUGAUGCUGUGUAAGACAGCAGAGAAUCUCUAACGCAGAAGGUAAUGAUGUGGUAACUAUGAUUUGUGGCCAGAAUGUGUGCACGUGAGUUGCCAGUGAUCAUGUGCCUUCCUGCCUACGUGCCAGCAGUCACGGUGUGCCUUCCUGCCUACGUGCCAGCAGCUGCGGUGGGCCUGCCCUGCUGGACUGUCCUGCCCGCCUGCCAGGCAUCAGAAGACGUCUUCCUACCUAUCACAAGAUGCCACAAUGCCAAGGAGAUACUUGGAGGAGUGGCUGAGCUUGAUUGCUAUAUAACCAGCCAUUGUGUUUUCAAUAAAGGAUCUUUUGCACUACCCUACCUCAGGUCUGUGUCGUCGUAUGCCACAAAUGGCGCCCGAAUUGGGAUCUCAAAAACAGAAGCAUGAAAAAUAGAAGCAUGAAAAACAGAACCAAUGAAUUUCAAAAAUAGAAGCAUGAAAAACAGAGUCAAGGAAUUUCAGAAUAGAAGCAUUGAAGAAUGAAGCAUGAAAAACAGAACCAAUGAAUCCGGUGGCAUAGCCCAGCUGAACUUCAGGACAGUUGGCAAUUGAGAGCUCCCAUCACCACCACAGAACGGCAGGAGUAAAAGACUCUGAUUAUGUGGGGGAGAUACAGAUUAUGGAGUAGACACCCUCUCCCCCGUGUUAUAUUAAAAAAGGGGAGAAGAUUGCCCAGCUGGUGCUGUUUAAGGUGAGUGGACCGAAAGGUCGGGGAGAGCACUUCGGGGGAUUCGGGAGCACCAACGUACCUCAAAUUAUGUGGGCACAUCAAAUUACCCAGAACCAGCCGCUUAUGACGUGUUACAUCAAUGGACGACCUUUCUCUGGUCUGGUGGAUACCGGAGCGGAUGUGUCAGUCAUCACGCAAUCAGACUGGCCCCAGGACUGGCCUUUAAGGAAUCCAGCCGCGGCCAUUGUAGGCGUUGGUGGAGAGCAAUUUGCCAAGCAAAGUGCCCAGCCGUUAUUGGUGUUGGGCCCCGAAGGACAGCGGGGCCAUAUCGCCCCCUAUGUUGUGCAAGCCCCUUGUACCCUUUGGGGCCGCGAUCUGUUAAGUCAAUGGGGAGUCGUCAUAGGGACAAAUGUAUCCUAAGGGUCACUGAAGUGCAGCCUUAUGUAAAACUCACCUGGAAGACUGAUGAGCCAGUGUGGGUGAAUCAGUGGCCCUUAAAAGCUGAAAGGCUGCAAAAGCUACAUGGACUGGUACAAGAGCAGCUUUGGAAGGCUUUGUAUGUUCUCAAUUUCUUAAACCGUUAUACGGACCAAAGUGCAAUUAAUAAGCAUUUCUCAUGUCCUACAGGGCGAGAACGACCUCGAGUUCACUACAGGAACCUGGAAACGGGUCAAUGGAGUGAACCAGUAGACUUAAUAACAUGGGGGAAAGGUUAUGCUUGUGUUUCCACAGGUAACGGACCUCGUUGGAUACCUGCACGACUGAUUCGACCUGUUGAUGUAUUCCUCGGGAUACCAAACGAGGGCCGAGAGCCAGUUAAGAUGAACCUAUCUUGGGGUAUUUUCGGCAGUGUUUGCCUGCCUUGUGCAGGAUCACUAUUAAUUCACAGAAGUUUACUGCACUUACACGAUUGCACUGAUAAGUUGUAGAUAGAAUAUGAUCGCACUGAUAAGUUGUGGAUAGAGCACGACCUCACUAAUAAGUUGUAGAUAGCAUCAGAGUGGAACCCUUUUAAGGGAUAAGACUGGACGUUAGGUUUGAGGGCAUAAGUUAAGAGGGCCCUGACAUGUGAAUUGGUAAUCUUGGUAAGAUUUCUAGCCCUUGUUAUCUGUCUCCCCUACCUGACAAGCCUUAAGUUUAAUAAAUAAAAAGGGGGGAUAUGUUGGGGACCAAAAUAGAAUGAUGCUGUGUAAGACAGCAGAGAAUCUCUAAGGCAGAAAGUGAUGAUGUGGUAACUAUGAUUUGUGGCCAGAAUGUGUGCACGUGAGUUGCCAGUGAUCAUGUGCCUUCUUGCCUACGUGCCAGCAGUCACGGUGUGCCUUCCUGCCUACGUGCCAGCAGCUGUGGUGGGCCUGUCCUGCUGGACUGUCCUGCCCGCCUGCCAGGCAUCAGAAGACGUCUUCCUACCUAUCACAAGAUGCCACAAUGCCAAGGAGAUACUUGGAGGAGUGGCUGAGCUUGAUUGCUAUAUAACCAGCCAUUGUGUUUUCAAUAAAGGAUCUUUUGCACUACCCUA